rnacentral:rRNA from 1 species
CUAGCGUUGCUCGGAAUCACUGGGCGUAAAGCGCACGUAGGCGGCUUUCUAAGUCCGGGGUGAAAUCCUGGAGCUCAACUCCAGAACUGCCUUCGAAACUGAUAGUCUUGAGUUCGGGAGAGGUGAGUGGAACUGCGAGUGUAGAGGUGAAAUUCGUAGAUAUUCGCAAGAACACCAGUGGCGAAGGCGGCUCACUGGCCCGAUACUGACGCUGAGGUGCGAAAGCGUGGGGAGCAAACAGG